rnacentral:rRNA from 1 species
GCGCGAAAACUUUACAAUGCUGGCAACAGCGAUAAGGGAACCUCGAGUGCCAGGUUACAAAUCUGGCUGUCGAGAUGCCUAAAAAGCAUUUCAUAGCAAGUGCCGGGCAAGACCGCUGCCAGCCGCCGCGGUAACAUCGGCGGCUCGAGUGGUAACCGUUAUUAUUGGGUCUCAAGGGUCUGUAGCCGGCCGGAUAAGUCUCUUGAGAAAUCUGGCAGCUUAACUGUCAGGCUUUCAGGAGAUACUGUCUGGCUCGAGGCCGGGAGAGGUGAGAGGUACUUCAGGGGUAGGGGUGAAAUCUUGUAAUCCUUGAAGGACCACCAGUGGCGAAGGCGUCUCACCAGAACGGACCUGACGGCAAGGGACGAAAGCUAGGGGCACGAACC